GCACAUUAAAAUCGCAUCAUGAGUUAGUCGACGUAAGUUCAAAAAGAAAUUAUGUUGAGGAUAAAAGGGAUUGAGUUUAUUAAUAAAAAUGGUUACAAGAGUCUAUAAAUAAUAUUAGUAAGUGGCGGAAGAUUUGGAGGGUGAACGAAUCAAAGAAGCAUGAGUUUCGUCAAAAGUCGGCAAGUUGGGAAUGCGAUAACUUGUGCUUUUGGGUGAGAUUAGGAGUGCUCCAUAUGAUAAGCAAGUAAUGAUAUGAAGUAUUUGAAUUGUAUAAUGGUCUCUUGUUAAGUUUGGAAGUCAAACGAGUUGUAAUACGAAAGUCGACAAAGGGCGUCGCAAGUUAAGUUUGUAAAUUUCACUGAAAUUUGGGUCAGAUGUCUCGGAGCUUUUCUCUCAAUAUACUUGGAGUUACGGGAUGAUCCACCCAUCAAAUCGAAUUUCUAUGAGUCUAGUUUCCAGCGAAUUUUAUCGUUCGUCAAUACGACAUUAGAGUAGAGAGAAAUUUGCAUUUUUGUCCAAGGACAUAAACUGCCGCGGGAACAAUGGACAUAGUCGGUGGUCAAAGCUGUCUUUGUAUAUAUAGUCACCCCUUCCACGACUUGUCUAUUAUUUUUCCUCUUCCUAAGACCUCCAAACCCUAGAAUUCAUCCUUAAAUACUUCCCCAUCAAACACAAGAUAAUCAAAGGGCAAAUUAUACAAGUCUAACACAAGGAACAAGGUAGUGAUCUUGGAAUCGGUAAAUUCUCGCUAAUUCGAUCUUUGGAAGGAAACUUCAUCAAGAAGCAAUUUAUAGUUUGGAGUGAUUUGCAUAGUUCGAGGAAGUCAGUUAUAAAGUGUUCGAAGCUUAUGGAAAUGUGUAACUCCAAUCGACGAGGUACGGUAGACGGAUUGUUGUACCUUUCUCAGUAGGAUACCAAAGUUCAGCAGGGAUGUUCGCACUCCAUUCUCCGGAGUUGCUGGUCAGAGUCAUUAAAUAGGAUGCAUGCAUAUAUAUAGAGAGAGUAUAGCUAUGGGUACGUUGGGGCCACUGUCCCGACCAGUUGAUGCAUAUUAGUGCUCUUCGAGGCCUACCGACUAUUAGUCAGUGUUCAGGUAUUGUGGUUGGCCUUGCCGGCCUUCUGACUAGUUGUCUUUCUUGGUUGUGGCCUUGUUGGCCCUUGUAAUGCAUAUAUGUAUUAUUGGGCCUUUUCUGCUUACAGGUUGUUAUGAUAUACUUUUUACUAUUGUUAUUCAGCGGCCUUGUCGGCCUAUGAUUCAC